GAAGGCAGGGGCGGGGAAGAAUAAAUCAUUAUGCAGCUCUCAACCUCCACAGGGAAACAGCAGUACAAACCCACAGAUCCAGAAUUGUCAAGAAAUGGGGAUAUUUGUUUACAAGUCACAGAAUCAGUUAUGUAACUAGAAGGCAGGAAGAUGAAGUGUCCAUGAGACAAAGCAAUUCACCCUGGGGAUGUGUGGAAGAAGUUGCCAAGCCAAGAAGGGAACCAAGGAGGUUGGAAUUGGAGCCCUUUGUGCUUACAACUUAAGGAGAGACUCAUUCCAGGGCACCUAGCUGGCUCAGUUGGUGGAGCAUGCAACUCUUAAUCUCGGGGGGUUGUCAGUU